rnacentral:ncRNA from 1 species
CAUAUGGUACCUAUCAGCGGUAGAGAGUCUAACAAGAUAGGUGGCGAUAUGGCUUCUUAUGAGGU